rnacentral:rRNA from 1 species
UGAGGAAUAUUGGUCAAUGGGCGGAAGCCUGAACCAGCCAAGUAGCGUGAGGGAUGACUGCCCUAUGGGUUGUAAACCUCUUUUAUAAGGGAAUAAAAUACGGGACGUGUCCUGUUUUGCAUGUACCUUAUGAAUAAGGACCGGCUAAUUCCGUGCCAGCAGCCGCGGUAAUACGGAGGGUGCAAGCGUUAAUCGGAAUAACUGGGCGUAAAGGGCAUGCAGGCGGUCCAUCAAGUAGGAUGUGAAAUCCCCGGGCUCAACCUGGGAACAGCAUACUAAACUGGUGGACUAGAGUAUUGCAGGGGGGAGACGGAAUUCCAGGUGUAGCGGUGGAAUGCGUAGAUAUCUGGAAGAACACCAAAGGCGAAGGCAGUCUCCUGGGCAAAUACUGACGCUCAUAUGCGAAAGCGUGGGUAGCAAACAGGAUUAGAUACCCUGGUAGU